UCAAUCCUUGUCUUGGGGAGCAUAGUAUUCUAUGAAGUUGAACUGAGAAUAUUUUGCUGACACCAAAUUUUAAAAACAACCCCCUUUUCAAUUACUGAACUGGGAAUUUUUGUACGA
rnacentral:ncRNA from 1 species